rnacentral:rRNA from 1 species
GAUGAACGCUGGCGGCGUGCUUAAUACAUGCAAGUCGAGCGGACGGACGCGAAGCUUGCUUCUCUGAUGUUAGCCGCGGGCGUGUGAGAAACGCGUGUAUCCCCUCCCUGUAAGACUGGUAUAACUUCGGGAAACCGUAGCUAAUACGGGAUAAUAUUUUGAACCGCGUGGUUGGAAGGUGAGUUACGGCCUUGCUGGCUCGUAUAGCUGGAUCCGCGCUGUAUUAGCUAGUUGGUGAGGUAACGGCUUACCAAGGCAACGAUGCCUGGCCGACCUGAGAGGGGGAUCGGCGACACUGGAACUGAGACACGGACCAGACUCCUACGGGAGGCAGCAGUAGGGAAUCGUCGGCAAUGGGCGAAAGCCUGACGCAGCAACGCCGCGUGAGUGACGAAGGUCUUCGGAUCGUAAAACCCGGUUAUUAGGGAAGAACAGAUGUGUAAGUAAACGUGGACAGCGUGACGGUACCGAAUCAGAAAGCACCGGCUAACUACGUG